rnacentral:rRNA from 1 species
UACGUAGGUGGCAAGCGUUGUCCGGAAUUAUUGGGCGUAAAGAGCGUGUAGGCGGCCAAGCAGGUCCGUUGUGAAAACUGGAGGCUUAACCUCCAGACGUCGACGGAAACCGCGCGGCUAGAGUCCGGAAGAGGAGAGUGGAAUUCCUGGUGUAGCGGUGAAAUGCGCAGAUAUCAGGAAGAACACCAAUGGCGAAGGCAGCUCUCUGGGACGGUACUGACGCUGAGACGCGAAAGCGUGGGGAGCGAACAGG